rnacentral:sRNA from 1 species
GGCUGUCCAAAGGUGGUGAGUUACCUCCAUUGACUGCUCACAGUCUUGCUAAAUAUCCCACCUCCUUCUCACUAUUGCACUUGUCUUAA